rnacentral:misc_RNA from 1 species
AGAUCAAAUCAAGAAAAUUAAAUGCUACCUCGAUGUUGAAUUAAGAAAAGAUCUAAUAGAAAAAAAUUAGAUUAUAGGUCUGUUCGACCUUUAAAUUCUUACAUGAUUUGAGUUAAGACCGGUGUAAGCCAGGUUGGUUUCUAUCUUCAUAAUAGAAGUUUUUAUAGUACGAAAGGACCUAAAAACUUAAUUUUAUUAAUUAAUUAGCUUAUAUAAAGCAAGUAUUUUGAAAAUACUAGAAAGAUUUAAAAAUUUAUUAAUUUUAUGU